GUGCUCGCUGCAGCAGCACAUAUAUUAAAAUUGGAACAAUACAGAGAAGAUUAGCACUGCCCCUAUGCAAGGAUGACAUGCAAAUACAUAAAGUGUUCCAUAGUUUU
rnacentral:snRNA from 1 species